UACGAAGGGGGCUAGCGUUGUUCGGAAUUACUGGGCGUAAAGGGCGCGUAGGCGGCCAUUCAAGUUAGGUGUGAAAGCCCUGGGCUCAACCUAGGAAUUGCACUUGAUACUGUUUGGCUUGAGUUCGGGAGAGGUGAGUGGAAUUCCCAGUGUAGAGGUGAAAUUCGUAGAUAUUCGGUGGAACACCAGUGGCGAAGGCGACUCGCUGGACUGAUACUGACGCUGAGGUGCGAAAGCGUGGGGAGCAAACAGG
rnacentral:rRNA from 1 species